UACAGGGGGGGCAAGCGUUGUUCGGAAUUACUGGGCGUAAAGGGUUUGUAGGUGGCCACUUAAGUCAGACGUGAAAUCCCUCAGCUUAACUGGGGAACUGCGUCUGAUACUGCGUGGCUUGAGUGCAGGAGAGGAACGCGGAAUUCCAGGUGUAGCGGUGAAAUGCGUAGAUAUCGGGAGGAACAUCAGUGGCGAAGGCGGCCCUCUGGUCCAGUACUGACACUCAAGUGCGAAAGCGUGGGGAGCAAACAGG
rnacentral:rRNA from 1 species